rnacentral:lncRNA from 1 species
UGGCAUAUGGAAGUUCCCAAGUUAGGGGUCUAAUUGGAAUCAGAGCCACAGCAAUGCCAGAUCCGAGCCUCAUCUGAGACCUAUACUGCAGCUCAUGGCAACAGUGGAUCCUUAACCCACUGAGCAGGGCCAGGGAUCAAACCUGUAUCCUCAUAGAUGCUAGUUGGGUUCGUUACCUCUGAGCCACAAUGGGAACUCUGACGCUAAGUUUUUAGACGAUAAAAGUGAAAAUAAAAAUCUGUUAAUGAGUAAACGAAAUGAACUAAUGUUCUUUCUUGUUCGGAAGGAAGAUGGAAGUAUUUACUAACUUUAAACUUUGAUAAAAAUUUUGUAGAUGUGUAUGUAGAAAAUUUAAUGGUGGCCACUAAGGAAGAGAAAUAUAACUUCCAAAUAAGGACAACAUAAAGGGGUGGGGAAAUAAAAUAUUCUCAAUCUGGCCAAAGACCAGAACUAGAGAAGAAGCUUAUGGAAUAAUGGUAAACAGAACACAAAACAGUAAAAAUUAAAUCCAAAUGCUAUCACUCACAAUAGAUAUAAAUGGAUUAAACUGACAAUAAUGGAUAGCAAACAGAAUCAGAUUCCCUAAAAAAAUAAAAUCACUCUACAUGUUGCUUAUGUGACACAUCCAAAGUAAAAUGACUCAGAAAGUUUGAAAUAAAGAGAUAAACUAGGCAGAGUUCUGCUUCUGGAAAUGCUAAGGGAAGGCUCUAUUAGACUAAGUCUCCUGUAAUAAUUAUAAACUCAGAGCAAUAUUUAAAAAAAAAGAUUCGAAGGCACUAGAGAAUGACCAAAGGCAGGCAGAAACUAACGGGAGUAAACAUUUUGAAAGGAGGAAAUCACACUAGGUAGGAUUUGCAUAUAAAGCUUUUUCCCUGAGGUACUCUCUAUGUCCUUUUGAGUGCAAGUAUGCUAGUACUCAGAAAGGUCUUACUGGCUUGAGCAUCAAUGGACAGAGCUGAAGGAUGCCCAAGCAACUCUGAGGUGAGGGAGAAUACCCAAGAAGGGAAACAGCCACAAAAUAGAGAGUUUCAAAAUCUAUGAUAAACUUCAUCUAAAUUUUUGGCUGACUCCUUUGGCUAUGCUUGUGCAGGGGAGAUCAUAAGGCGCCCAGUGGAAAACAACAGCUGGAAGGUAGAAAGCUAUAACAGAAAUUUCAGUUGGGGCCCACUGCAAAAGAGACAGCAGGAAAUUUGAGUCUAGACAAAUCGACUUUUAUAACAAAAACACUCUUCAGAAGAAGAUAAUAGAAUCCAGACUACAAAUUAUUUAGUCUGUGUCCUGUAUACAAUAAAACUAGAUAAGUAAAUGUUUAUAGCAGCUUUAUUCUCCAAACUGAAAACAACUCAAAUAUCCACCAACAGGAGAAUAGAUAAAUAAAUUAAGAGUUAGUCUCAUAAUGAAAGGUAUUUGGUCAUGAAAAAAGAAUGAAUUACUGACAUACACAAAAGCAUGGAUGAAUCUCAUGGACUUAAUGAUGAGUGAAGCAAAUAAACAUAAAAGCAGAUUUAUUUUGAUGAUAUGUAGGUGAUAUUCCAGGAAAGGCAAAACUAUCUAUUGUGAUAACAAUUAGAAAGAGGAUUAUCUCUUAGGAGAUUGACUGGAAGGGGGCUGUUCCAAUGGAAAUGAUGUGUAUCUUAAAGGGGUGUGGUUGUCAAGCACUCUGAAGGGUCUGAGACUUUACCCUGCUUGAAGAUAAUAAAUUAACCUGACAGUCUUAUGGAUGCUGGCAGAAAAAAAUCUUGAGUUAGAAGCAAAGGACUUCAUCAUGCACAGCACAAUAAGCAGUUUGAACUCCAGUCUGCAUUGGUUCCUUUUGCCUCCUAAGCCUUGUGAGGGGUGACGCCGAGGGGCCCAGAUGGAUGCUGCACAUGUAGUUAAGUUUGUAGCAAACUGAGGAACCCCAAGCUUAGGGAAACUAAAUCUUUUAUAAAGGGCAGUAAGUCUGCCUGCCAUUUGUCUUGAAAGAGACAUUAUUUUUAUUAUACUGGACAGUAAACGAGCCUGCUCCAGAAGGAGACACUGUAUUUUUGUUCCAGAAGAAGACAUUAUAUUCCAAGAUUGUCCACAUAUAGAUAAACAUACCUGAAGAGACAGUGCCUCUGCUUGCAAGAAAUGGAGACUUGCAAGGGACGCAUGGAAACAGUCUCUAACAUUGGGUAAUAAGAAUGUAUGCACUUGUCAAAAUUUAUUGAAUCUUAUAUUUAUUACCUGUGUACUACAUUAUAAUUUUAACCUCCAAAACAACAACCCCCCCCCCUCACCAAGACUCUGUAAAACAAACUAAAAAAGAUAAUUAGGUAUGGACAAAUUCAGGGAGUUUGAAAAAGGCAAAUUCCUUUGAUCUGGCGAAUCCUUUGAAAGUGAAAGGUUUGGGAGGAACAAGCCUGUCUCACCCAAGUGGCAGGGGACCCCACACCACAUCAUUUCUUAAAACUACCUCAUAAUUAAACUAAGCUAUAUAAAGGCAGGGAAGUUUUUUCUUGUCCUCACUAUUGUGUUCCCUGGCAAUCAGUACAUAGUGCUUAAUACAUCUGUUAGAUAAACAUGUACAACCAAGUUGAAAAAGGGACCAAUGCAUUGACCCCCAAACCACUGAGUCAUCCUUUUCAUCCUGCUAUCUUAAUCCUUUCUUGCUUUCUUCAUUUCUCAACUUAGGUUUUUCUUUUAUUUUGCACCCCACUCUCUCAAGGCCUUAUACAAUGGAAUGAAAUUCUCUUUUACAUGCUCUGCUUAUAAAACAAGGGUUUUAUACUUCAUUCGUACGCAAAGAAAUGUGGUUGAAUUAAACGGUGUGUAAACUUAAAUGAAACAAUAGAGUCAUACUUUCUGAGUGUGAAUCCCAGCUCCAUUAUUUACUCACUGAGUCCUGGAAGAAGUCAAUUAACCUGGCUAUUCCUCACAGUAUUAAUUUUAUAGACCUGUUAUAGAGGUUAAAUGGGAAAAUGUUUAUAGUGCUUAGAACAGUAGUGACAAAAAGUUCAAUAAAUGUUAACUAUUAUUUUUAAAUGCCACCAAGAUUUGUAUAUAGAUUAUGAUUUAGUUGCUAAUAGGAUUGUAAAAAACAACAAAAACAUAAAAUUGAAAUUAAAAUUAGCAGAACCCUUAAAAAUGAGCCUAGUAAGGGAGGGUCUCAGUAUGUAGAGGCAUCCAAACAAUUUAUUAGGAUAUAUAGAGAGAAUAUGGACUUCUUUAUAGAAUCUCUGUGGUAGAUGUACAUAGGAAUCCAUUAUGUUGUAAUUAAGCAGAAAAAAAUUUUGUGCCCAUUAUGUGUACAGAGGAUAACUGGGUUCGAGGUUAUAAAAAGAAACAGGUUUUGCUUACAAAAAGCUUAUAUCUUAUGGGGAUACAGUAUACUUUUUAGGUUUAAAAAAGUAUACAUGUUCACUAAAAAAAAAAAAAAAGAAAAAG